GACAAACGCUGGCGGCGUGCUUAACACAUGCAAGUCGAACGAAGCUCCAAGGUCUGAGAUUCGUCGAAGACCGAGGAUGACUUAGUGGCGGACGGGUGAGUAAUGCGUGAGCAACCUGCCCUUCAGUGGGGGACAACAGCUGGAAACGGCUGCUAAUACCGCAUGAUGUAUUCCGAUCACAUGGUUGGGAUACCAAAGAUUUAUCGCUGAAGGAUGGGCUCACGUCUGAUUAGCUAGUUGGUGAGGUAACGGCUCACCAAGGCUGCGAUCAGUAGCCGGACUGAGAGGUUGACCGGCCACAUUGGGACUGAGAUACGGCCCAGACUCCUACGGGUGGCUG
rnacentral:rRNA from 1 species